rnacentral:misc_RNA from 1 species
AAGUCGUAACAAGGUUUCCGUAGGUGAACCUGCGGAAGGAUCAUUAACACGUAUCCAACGUUAAACCCCCCUGUGAACCUUCAGAAGUCCGUUCUCGUAACACCAGUGCGCCUCAGCAAUCCCGGUAAAUCAUUGUCGACCAGUAUUGAUUCGGGACCUCUGACAAAUGCCUUACGAUCGAGCUGUACAGUGACAUGGCUUCCCGUACGCCUCACGAUUGCUGGAUCGACCACCGGCCAGCUUCCAUGUCAUAGGGUCCUUUGAGAUCCCUUCGAAACCCCACUACUUUAUAGUUCGGGCUUGCUAAAUACACGCCCAAAAAAACGAACAACUGUUAACAAUGGAUAUCUUGGUUCUC